CUUGGCACUGGGGAAUCCUUUGUGUUAAAUGUAAGGCUUUUACAUGGUUGUAUCAUAGAAUUCCCCCGUACCGAGUGG
rnacentral:pre_miRNA from 1 species